GUUAAAAAGCUCGUAGUCGGAUUUUGGCAUCACGCCGCACUGUCUGCCGAUUGGUAAGUACGGGUUUGGCGGUUGCUUCCUUCCGGUGCUGUAUGCUGCUCUUAAUUGAGCGGUAUGCUAGUUCCGGUUCAUUUACUUUGAGAAAAUUAGAGUGUUCAAAGCAGGCCUAUGCUCUGAAUAGGUUAGCAUGGAAUAAUAGAAUAGGACUUUGGUUCUAUUUUGUUGGUUUCUAGGACCGAAGUAAUGAUUAAUAGGGACAGUUGGGGGCAUUCAUAUUCCAUUGUCAGAGGUGAAAUUCUUGGAUUAACGGAAGAUGAACUUCUGCGAAAGCAUCUGCCAAGGAUGUUUUCAUUGAUCAAGAACGAAAGUUAGGGGAUCGAAGACGAUCAGAUACCGUCGUAGUCUUAACCAUAAACUAUGCCGACUAGGGAUGUGGAGGCGUUAAACUUUGUACGACCCUCCAUGCACCUUAUGAGAAAUCAAAAGUCUAUGGGUUCCGGGGGGAGUAUGGUCGCAAGGCUGAAACUUAAAAGAAUUGACGGAAGGGCACCACCAGGAGUGGAGCCUGCGGCU
rnacentral:rRNA from 1 species